rnacentral:rRNA from 1 species
UACGUAGGGGGCGAGCGUUGUCCGGACUUAUUGGGCGUAAAGAGCUCGUAGGCGGUUCGAUAAGUCGGACGUGAAAUCUCCACGCUCAACGUGGAGGGGCCGUUCGAUACUGUCGUGACUCGAGUCCGGUAGGGGAGUGUGGAAUUCCCGGUGUAGCGGUGAAAUGCGCAGAGAUCGGGAGGAACACCCGUAGCGAAGGCGGCACUCUGGGCCGGUACUGACGCUGAGGAGCGAAAGCGUGGGGAGCAAACAGG